UGGGGAAUAUUGCGCAAUGGGGGAAACCCUGACGCAGCAACGCCGCGUGAAUGAUGAAGGCCUUCGGGUUGUAAAGUUCUGUCUUCUGGGACGAUAAUGACGGUACCAGAGGAGGAAGCCACGGCUAACUACGUGCCAGCAGCCGCGGUAAUACGUAGGUGGCAAGCGUUGUCCGGAUUUACUGGGCGUAAAGGAUGCGUAGGCGGACAUUUAAGUCAGAUGUGAAAUACCCG
rnacentral:rRNA from 1 species